rnacentral:lncRNA from 1 species
GCUCCCUUGUGAAGCUGUAAGAACAUGGUACUUACAGGAGUAAGGCUCAUGAAGUGGAGAGAUGAGAAGACUUUCGGGACAGAUUGUGUGGAGGCUGUCAUUCUCCUCGUGACAUUGCUGUGGGAGAAGAAGGAGGCAUUCCAUGUUGGCUUCAGUGAAGAACUUCAGUAUUUUCCAGAGAGAAGUACUGAGAAGCUUAAAGUAUUUGAAUGGGAGGAGGAGAAGCAAACUACAGCUACUUCAGAGGAUAACACUAAACACCUAGUCCACUCUGUAUACACUAGAGGUAAGAGAGGUGGUUCAUAGAACUUCA